AAUCCUAAAGCAAGCACUAAAAUAAAGAGUAAUUGCUAAAUUGGAUUUAAAAAAAUCACAAUCUAACUAUAUAAUAUCUAUAAAGGAACUUAUUUUAAAUAAAAAAUAGGUUGGGGAUCCCUAGGUGGCUCAGCGGUUUAGUGCCUGCCUUCAGUCCAGGGUGUGGUGCUGGAAUCCUGGGAUCAAGUCUCACAUCAGGCUCCCUACAUGGAACCUGCUUCUCCCUCUGCCUGUGUCUCUGCCUCUUUCUCCCCAUGUCUCUCAUGAAUAAAUAAAUAAAUCUUAAAAAAAAUAUAGGCCAUGACUAAAUGGGAUUAAUUCUAGGAAUGCAGAGUUGAUUUAACAUUUGAAAAUCAAUGUAAUUUAUCACGUAACAGACCCCCAAACAAUACAAAAACAAAACAAAAACCCCAAAACAAAACAAAACAAAAAACCCAAAUAACCAUAACAUGAUAAUUUCAAUAGAUGCAGAAAAUCAUCUGACAUCUGAAUUCAACAUCUAUUCAUGAUAAAAACUCUUAUGUGGUGUCUAUGUUGAGAACAGACUGAAGGUGAGCAAAGGAAGAAACAGGGAGACCAUUUAGAAGGGUAUUACAACAAUCCCAACUGGAGAAAUACCAGGGUGAUAAUCUAAUCACAAAGAUGGUCACUCUGGUUAAUAUGAAGGUAGUCCAAACAGGAUUUACUAAUGCAAUGGGUAGGGAGUGAGAGAAAGAAAGGAGCCAAGAAGGAUGACUCUGAGAUUUUUGGUCUGAGCAUUUGGGAGGAUGAAGUUGCAGUUAAUAGUGAUGGAGAAGAUGGUGGGACCUGGUGGAUUUGAUGGCACAAAUCAAAAGUUUUAUUUUGGACGUGGUAAGUUUGAGAUGUACCUUCAAAAUCCACAUUAAGAUGUCGACUAGGCAGUAGACAUAUAAAUCCAGAGACAGAGAGAUAUCACAUAUGGGCUCUAAAUUUGGGAGUCUUCAGCAUGUAAUUGGUGUUUAAAUUCAGAAGAGCAGAUGAAAUCACCAAAAGUCUGAGAAAAUAUAGAAAAAAUUGUCAAGGCCUGUGGUCCUUUUAUGAAAAUAUAUGAUAAAGGGAGAGAAUCCAGCAGAGGAGAUUCACAAAGAGUGUUCAUUGAAGCGAAAGAAAACCAGGGAAGUGUGGAAGCCAAGAAAAGUGAGUAUUUCAAGAAGGAAGAAAAUGUAUCAAACGCUGCUGAUGAGUGUAAGAUGAUGGCUGAGAAUGGACCACUGAAUUGCAGCAUGGAGGUCAUUGGAAGUCUUGACAAGAGCAGUUUCAGCACAAUAGCGCAGGCAAAAAGCCUGAUGAGAGUGGGUUCAAGACAAAAUAGGAAACCAAUCCUUCACAAACUGUUCCAAAAAACAAUAGAGGAGGGAACACUUCUCAAAUUAUUAUAUGACAUCAGAAUUACUCUGAUACUAAAACCAGACAAAGAUAUCACAAGAAAACUACUGAUCAAUAUGCUUUAUGCUAUAGAUACAAACACCCUCAAGAAAAUACUAGCAAGCUAAAUCCAUCCUAAAGCUCUUUUUAUAUACAAAUCCCACCAGAAGUGGGAUUUAUCCCAGAAUUGCAAGACUUGUUCUACCUACAAAAGCAAUGUGAUACAUCAUAUUAAUAGAAUAAAAGAUAAAACCCCAAAAGAUCAUUUAACAGAUAAGAAGAAGCACUUGACAAAACUCAACACCCUUUCAUAAUGAAAACACUCAACAAACUUAGAAGGGAAUUCACUUAUUUUGAUAAAGUACAUCUAUAAAGAAGCCACAGCUAACAACUUACUUAAUGAUGAAAGGAUGGAAUAUUUUCCCAAGACCAGGAAUAAGACAGAGAUGUCCACUCUCAUCACUUUUAUUUAAUAUUGUACUGGGGUCUAGCCAGGGCAAUUAAGAAAGAAAAAUAAAUGGAAGGAAUCUAGGUUGAGAAGGAAGAAGUAAAACUCUAUAAACAGAUGACAUGAUCUUAUAUGUAGAGGAUCUUAAGGAAUAUGCACACACACAAACUAUUAGAGCUAAUAGUUGGAGGAUAUAAGAUUAAUAUACAAAAAUCAAUUUCAUGUCUAUAAACUAGCAGUGAAUGGUCAGAAAUGAAAUUAAAGGGCAGCCCAGGUGGCUCAGUGGUUUAGUGCCGCCUUUAGCCCAGGGCGUGAUCCUGGAGACCCGGGAUCGAGUCCCACAUCGGGCUCCCUGCAUGGAGCCUGCUUCUCCCUCUGCCUAUGUCUCUGCCCCCCUCUCUCUCUCUCUCUCCCUCUCUGUGUCUCUCAUGAAUAAAUAAAUAAAAUCUUAAAAAAAAUGAAAUUAAGAAAACAAUUCCAAGGGUACCUGGCUGCAACUCUUGAUCUCAGGUUAUGAGUUCAAGC
rnacentral:lncRNA from 1 species